GGUUCCGUAGUGUAGUGGUUAUCACGUUCGCUUCACACGCGAAGGUCUCCGGUUCGAUCCCGGACGGAACCA